CAGGAAAAUAUCCGCUGAACAACUCACCUCCGAAGCCAUUUCUCGAAAUCGAAUCUCGGUAUCACCCAACGUGGCUCCCCCAUAGGACUAUAAUCCCGCCUUCUGUAGGGAGGACGAAUGAACAGGAGGUUGAGGCUGUUGACUUCCUUCUCGACCUCUCACGAGACCAUCCACAACAGUGGGAGAUACUAGUGGGUAUGUAUUUCAGCCAGGGUAGACACCCGCAAGCGUACCUCGGGCGUGAUGGAAAAUCCAAGGAAGUACUCAGGGGAGAAUAUUGGGAGUGGAACUGGGCUCUACAGGAUAUUCGUGAACAAUGUCCACGUACGGCGCCCGCUCCGUACACGAUGCCCGCAGGGCAGGAAGGAAAAUUCCUGCAGUCUAUCACCGAAUCAAUCCUAGAUGGUAACGAGGACUUGUUCCUCCGGGUUAUCAAGAUAUGGCAAUUGGAAAGGAUGUCGUACGACAAAUGCGCCCUGGAAAACAUUAUGAAGCGGGCAGGCUGGUGCUAUGAUGUAUCUUCGACGCGGGAAUGGCAGCUUAUGGUAGAGCUAAAGAAAUUGCCUGCAGGGACAGAUAAGGCC
rnacentral:sRNA from 1 species